AGAGUUUGAUCCUGGCUCAGAAUCAACGCUGGCGGCGUGCCUAACACAUGCAAGUCGAGCGAGAAAGGGUAGCAAUACCUGAGUAAAGCGGCGCACGGGUGAGUAACACGUGACUAACUACCCUCGAGUGGGGAAUAACUUCGGGAAACCGAGGCUAAUACCGCAUAACACCCACGGGUCAAAGGAGCAAUCCGCUUGAG
rnacentral:rRNA from 1 species